rnacentral:misc_RNA from 1 species
AAGGAUCAUUCAUAAUAAGUGUUUUAUGGCACUUUUUUAAAUCCAUAUCCACCUUGUGUGCAAUGUCAGUCGUUCUCAUUUUUAAUGGGAGUGACCAAACAUCAACUUAUACUGUAACUCUUUGUCUGAAAAAUAUUAUGAAUAAAGUAAUUCAAAAUACAACUUUCAACAACGGAUCUCUUGGCUCUC